CUGGCGCCUGCGCGGUGGGCGCCGCCCGCCUCCCUUCCCGGAGCGGCGGGACAAGAUGGCGGCGGCGGCGGCGGUGUCGCGGCGCCGGGAGCGGGCGGAGGCGGAGGCGGAGCGGGACGUGGCGGCGGUGCCGGCGCCGGCCCUGUCGGGGCAGUCGUACUGGCUGGACCUGUGGCUCUUCGUCCUCUUCGAUCUGGCGCUCUUCGUGCUCAUCUACCUGCUGCCCUGAGGGCCGCGGCCCCGGCGCCUCACGGAGAGCAGCGGGACCUGCCCGGCAGGAGGCGGCCGUGGGGGCACCGCCGCUCGCACCUGGGGACCUCUGGAGGCGGGAGCCGCGCCCGCCCUGCCCCUGCUGUGCCUUCGGAGUCCACGGGACGGCUCGGCUGCGCUUUGGUCGUUUGUGCCUGAAUAUUUAUGAUGCAUACAUGAAAAUAUGUACUCUUUGUAAAAAAGCGAACGGAAGGACAGACAGUAGUGACAAUAAAAUGCAGCUCUCACAGACGGGAAUUGUAACUCAGGCCUUACUGCUCGAAAGAUGAAACAUCUCUCUGCUAUUUUACCUCCGAGCGUGCUAGUAUGAUGCUGUCCCUGUUGGUUUGUAGUACCGUUCUCUCUUUGUACCACAGUGUGCAGCAGAUUCUUGCUUCAGCAGAUACUGAGCUUUCUGGAACAUGGCAGCGGGUAACAGUGGGCGCUGUCCUCGCUGAGUUAGUCAGGUCUGAGCACCUUGCUCUGAACAGUGAAGGAGGGAGCUUACAAGAAGAGCCUUCGUAGGCAGGUUACAUGUGAAGUACGCUCCUCCAUAAAUCUGUGAGCUACUGUAAAUAGUACUGGCCCUUCAACUUCCAUGUGCUCCAUUAGAGUUUUGUAUGUCCCUGACUAUAACAAAGCCUUCAAAACAAUGUUACAUUAAGGAAUAUGUCGUGCUCAGGAGAAAGAAAAGGAAGCCGAGUACACAGAGUAAGAUUUUUACCAGAUGAUUGGGUUUUGGGAAAGAAAAUCUUUAACUAUGGGUGGAAGCAGUUCAGUUGCCUUGUAUACUUUUCCCUUGUAAAUACCCUUAAUUGUGAGAUAUAUAUAUUUCCCAGGAAUAAAUACAAAACAUAACUGGACUUCAGAGACUCAAGUGUUGGGUAUUCCAGCAUCCUCUAACACAUUGAGAAGAGGCUGCUAUCAAGUUAAAUAGGUUUCUAUCAAGUUAAAUAGGUUUCAGGUCAUGUAAGUGGGUACGUAUUUUUUUUAUUAUUAUUAUUCCUAAACAAUUUUUCAGUUGACAGUAGCUUCAAUUAUGUAUCAGGCUUGUGCAUUCAGAAGUGAGCUUAAAGCUUUUGACCUGUACCUGCUAGUAUUUAUGACAUGGGUGGGUAGUACAUAUGAAGAAGUGGUUUCAGCAUUCCUGACUCAGGACAGAAAAAAGCUGAACUAUGAUUGCAUUCUCAGAGAGAAGAUUGUUUUUUAACUUUUCUUUCAAAUGAGCCUAUUAAAGA